rnacentral:rRNA from 1 species
UACGAAGGGGGCUAGCGUUGUUCGGAAUUACUGGGCGUAAAGGGCGCGUAGGCGGUGUGUCAAGUCAGGGGUGAAAGCCCAGAGCUCAACUCUGGAACUGCCCUUGAAACUGUAUGGCUUGAGUAUGAGAGAGGUGAGUGGAAUUCCCAGUGUAGAGGUGAAAUUCGUAGAUAUUGGGAAGAACACCGGUGGCGAAGGCGGCUCACUGGCUCAUUACUGACGCUCAGGCGCGACAGCGUGGGGAUCAAACAGG